AAUCUUGCGCAAUGGACGAAAGUCUGACGGAGCAACGCCGCGUGAGCGAAGAAGGCCUUCGGGUCGUAAAGCUCUGUUGUUAGGGAAGCACAAGUAUCGGAGUAACUGCCGGUACCUUGACGGUACCUAACCAGAAAGCCACGGCUAACUACGUGCCAGCAGCCGCGGUAAUACGUAGGUGGCAAGCGUUGUCCGGAAUUAUUGGGCGUAAAGCGCGCGCAGGCGGUCUCUUAAGUCUGAUGUGAAAGCCCCCGGCUCAACCGGGGAGGGUCAUUGGAAACUGGGAGACUUGAGUGCAGAAGAGAAGAGCGGAAUUCCACGUGUAGCGGUGAAAUGCGUAGAGAUGUGGAGGAACACCAGUGGCGAAGGCGGCUCUUUGGUCUGUAACUGACGCUGAGGCGCGAAAGCGUGGGGAGCAAACAGG
rnacentral:rRNA from 1 species